rnacentral:tRNA from 1 species
GGACGUUUAGCUCAGCUGGUUAGAGCGCUACACCCACACUGUAGAGGUCGGAGGUUCGAAUCCUCCAACGUCCACCA